UACGACGGGAGCUAGCGUUGUUCGGAAUUACUGGGCGUAAAGGGCGCGUAGGCGGCUUGGCAAGUUGGAUGUGAAAGCCCAGGGCUCAACCCUGGAAUUGCAUUCAAAACUGCUUUGCCUGAAUUCGGUAGAGGUUGGUGGAAUUCCCAGUGUAGAGGUGAAAGUCGUAGAGAUUGGGAAGAACACCCGUGGCGAAGGCGGCCAACUGGACCGACAUUGACGCUGAGGCGCGAAAGCGUGGGGAUCAAACAGG
rnacentral:rRNA from 1 species